AAAACAUGUUUGAAGGUUGACAAGGAAACAGAAACACCAGAGUGAGUAUCAGCUGUGUAAGGAUGGUAUGAUCUCAGAAACACACACAACUCCGUCUGGUUUCCCUGCACUCUUAAACUUUGCUCUAAUCAAGGGGCCUGUCUGUUUGGGAAGACCUGAUGAUCAUUGUCCUUGAUGAGACACUGAUUAUUUUGAACUUGUUUUGCUUUCCUUUCUGUUCAUCCUAAUCUAUUGGAGCUUUUAUCCCAAUGCCUCCUGUAAUGAAUGGACCUAAACUUUGAUGUGAGUCACUAAAACGAGAAGAGAGCUAUGGACGCAAAGGGAGUUGCAAGAGGAAGAGGAAGAGGAAGAGAAGAGAGAGAUAAUGAAAGAGGACCAGGGGACAAAGAGGCAAUGAGUGGAGAAGGGAUUAAAGGCGGAGGACGAAGAGGUCAAGUGAGAGGGAGAGGACCAGGAAGAGCCAGAGGAGAUCUAACCCAACAAGAAGGAGGCGAAGGAAAAAGGGAAGAAAUCAUCAAUGCGGCCACAGAGAGCAAGAACAGAGGGAUGGGGAAGAGAGGAGCGAAGGCUAGGCCGGGACAAGGUGAAAGCAGAGGAAAAGGACCAGAUACAGUGGUUGAACCAGAAGGAAGGGAGACCGAAACACAAGGUGAUACAACAGGAAAUGGACUGUACUUAGACAGGGUUGAUUUUAUUCAGCUGCUGAGAUUACUGCACAUCACACUGCCGGUGGACAUUACAUCCCACAGAGCAAUAGAAAUCUCAAAAGCAGAACAAAGUAUCAAGGAUGCUGAAACACUCAUUAGAGAACUAGAAAACUUUAAACUCGCCUUCAAGUCUUGUCCUCGACUGCCAAGCAGGAAGGUGAAGCGUGCUUUGGAACUUAAAGAGGGAGGAAAUGUGCUGGACCUGACCCGGCUCAUCUUCUUUGAAAAAAAAGAGAAUGGAGAGAAAAGUCGCAAGCAGUGGGAAGCCAACACAUCCAACACCGGUCACGGAUUCAAGCUCAGGGAAAAUUACAUGAUGACACCCAUUUCAACUCCACCCAUGUACUCCACUGCAAAAACCCGGAGCUGGAAGUCAGUGGAUGUUGGGACAGACUCACCACGGGUUACGGAAGGAACGAGGGUGAACACUGAGGUCACAAAGGGCAGGAAGUUUGUAGAUGAGACAUCCCUGUGGAAUGGAGAAAACUCAGCAAAAAAGUUUGGCAAGAACGACGACGAUGAGGCGGAGUCACUGAAGUUCUUUCUUGGCCUACAAGACGCAUCAGAUUACAAGGAUGCCAGUUACACCAAGGGGAACACUGUAGAGUAUGGAUUCCUUACAGGGACACUAGAUUUUCUUGGAGAGGUCAAAAAUCACAGUGACAAAAGUGUAAGCAAGAGAGUGGUGAUCGAGUGUAAAAGCACAACAGGUGACAUGGUGGACAAGUUGUACACCAAAACCCCAAAUACCCAAAACGCUUGUGUCAAAAAGGACCACGUGUACAGCGUUCAAGUGCAGACCUACCUUUACAUCCUUGAUAAAGUAGCAAAGAU